rnacentral:rRNA from 1 species
CAAAGGAGCAAUCCGCUGAAAGAUGGGCUCAUGUCUGAUUAGAUAGUUGGUGAGGUAACGGCUCACCAAGUCGACGAUCAGUAGCCGGACUGAGAGGUUGAACGGCCACAUUGGAACUGAGAGACGGUCCAGACUCCUACGGGAGGCAGCAGUGGGGAAUAUUGGGCAAUGGGCGCAAGCCUGACCCAGCAACGCCGCGUGAAGGAAGAAGGUCUUCGGAUUGUAAACUUUUGUCUUAUGGGACGAUAAUGACGGUACCAUAGGAGGAAGUCACGACUAACUACGUGCCAGCAGUCGCGGUAAUACGUAGGUGGCAAGCGUUAUCCGGAAUUAUUGGGUGUAAAGGGUGCGUAGGCGGGAUGUAAAGUCAGAUGUGAAAUGCCGCAGCUUAACUGCGGAGCUGCAUUUGAAACUUAUGUUCUUGAGUGAAGUAGAGGCAAGCGGAAUUCCUAGUGUAGCGGUGGAAUGCGUAGAUAUUAGGAGGAACACCGGUGGCGAAGGCGGCUUGCUGGGCUUUUACUGACGCUGAGGCACGAAAGUGUGGGGAGCAAACAGGAUUAGAUACCCUGGUAGUCCACACCGUAAACGAUGAUUACUAGGUGUAGGUCGGCUGAACCGAUCU